AAUUGUUCCUUUUUUUAAGGGAAGACAUCAUGAGGGAUUCUGAAAAGCCCACUGGAAAAGAAAAUAUGUUAUUGUUGUUUUAAAUAAUGCUCAGCAUGAUACUGUGAAGCAUCAUGAGUAGUCUGAACAUCACACUGCAUCACUAACUCAUAGUAAUAUCAUUCUUUCUUUUCCAGGAUGGUUUUCAGUACUUCUUGUACUUACACAGUCAUUUUCUGUUGGAUCAGUGAACUAUCAGAAGCACUACAUGAUGCAAAACCACUAACAGAUGCAGUGAGAGAGAUAGUUUUCCCUCAUUAA
rnacentral:lncRNA from 1 species